rnacentral:rRNA from 1 species
UAGGGAAUCUUCCGCAAUGGGCGAAAGCCUGACGGAGCAACGCCGCGUGAGUGAAGAAGGUCUUCGGAUCGUAAAACUCUGUUAUUAGGGAAGAACAAAUGUGUAAGUAACUAUGCACGUCUUGACGGUACCUAAUCAGAAAGCCACGGCUAACUACGUGCCAGCAGCCGCGGUAAUACGUAGGGGGCAAGCGUUAUCCGGAAUUAUUGGGCGUAAAGCGCGCGUAGGCGGUUUUUUAAGUCUGAUUUGAAAGCCCACGGCUCAACCGUGGAGGGUCAUUGGAAACUGGAAAACUUGAGUGCAGAAGAGGAAAGUGGAAUUCCAUGUGUAGCGGUGAAAUGCGCAGAGAUAUGGAGGAACACCAGUGGCGAAGGCGACUUUCUGGUCUGUAACUGACGCUGAUGUGCGAAAGCGUGGGGAUCAAACA